GCUGGCGGCAGGCCUAACACAUGCAAGUCGAACGCGACUUCGGUCGAGUGGCGCACGGGUGAGUAACGCGUGGGAACCUGCCCUAUGGUACGGAAUAACACCGGGAAACUGGUGCUAAUACCGUAUAUCCCCUGAGGGGGAAAGAUUUAUCGCCAUAGGACGGGCCCGCGUAGGAUUAGCUAGUUGGUGAGGUAAUGGCUCACCAAGGCGACGAUCCUUAGCUGGUCUGAGAGGAUGAUCAGCCACACUGGGACUGAGACACGGCCCAGACUCCUACGGGAGGCAGCAGUGGGGAAUAUUGGACAAUGGGGGAAACCCUGAUCCAGCCAUGCCGCGUGAGUGAUGAAGGCCUUCGGGUUGUAAAGCUCUUUCGCACGCGACGAUGAUGACGGUAGCGUGAGAAGAAGCCCCGGCUAACUUCGUGCCAGCAGCCGCGGUAAUACGAAGGGGGCAAGCGUUGUUCGGAAUUACUGGGCGUAAAGGGCGCGUAGGCGGUGCGCUAAGUCAGAUGUGAAAGCCCUGGGCUCAACCCGGGAACUGCAUUUGAUACUGGCGCGCUCGAA
rnacentral:rRNA from 1 species